UACGGGGGGGGCAAGCGUUGUUCGGAAUUACUGGGCGUAAAGGGCUCGUAGGCGGCCAACUAAGUCAGACGUGAAAUCCCUCGGCUUAACCGGGGAACUGCGUCUGAUACUGGAUGGCUUGAAUCCGGGAGAGGGAUGCGGAAUUCCAGGUGUAGCGGUGAAAUGCGUAGAUAUCGGGAGGAACACCGGUGGCGAAGGCGGUUCUCUGGGAAUAUCCUGACGCUGAGGAGCGAAAGUGUGGGGAGCGAACAGG
rnacentral:rRNA from 1 species